GAGUGAAAGCAUGUGAGGAGGGAUGCUAGUACUUAGCCUACAUACGUGUGUUGUACCAUGUUUCAACGACCAACAAAGUCAGACUCUAAGAGAAGAGAAAGGAGAGAAAGACAAGAGAGAGGGAUUAAAGGGCGACAGUAUGUCACCCAGUUUUUCACAAGAAAAGGACCAACAGAUCCAUCUCUAAGCUCAGCAGCCCUGUCCCCCCAUAAGGCUGAACCUGAACCAGCUUUUCUCCCAACUGAAGGAGAAGUGUCAUGUGUUGCAGCAGAGUGAGCCUUGUUAUUUUUGCACACCGGCAAGCACACCUGCUGUGCUCUACAGAAAACCGCAGUCGUCACAGACUCCCAGGUACAUUCAAGUCAAUUCAAAUCAAGUAAAAAACGUAUAAAAGACUGAGGUAAAAAACUAGCUACAAGCAAGAGGAUUACAUGUGGGGAGACCUUCAGCUACGAACAAAAAAAGAUUUGUCGAUUUAUACUGCCACAGAGCAGAUUCGUCAAGUUGUAAUGACUGAUUUGAGAGGUUGUAAUAACCAAGUUGCAGUUGUAAUGGAAAAUAUAUUUAAAAAAUAUUUAUUUUUCUGCAAGUGAACAUUUGAUCACUAAGUUAAUUAUUUUUUUUCUGUGACUUCAAAUUUGGUUCACAGUUACGUGGAUAUUUUAUACAAGUGUAAAUUUGGUUCAGUGUAAAUGUAUGCACACAAGCUCAGAUUUUUUUUCUGCAAGUGCUCACAUCAGGUUUUACACGCUCUCGCAUUGUGCACCAUAUCUACCUUCAUACCUGACAGCCCAGCAGCUGAUCUCUAAGCACCUCCCCUCUCCUGUAGGGGGGGCGUGGUCAGCUGCAGCUCACAGAAUCAGCACCCUGCAAAAACAGCGCUGGAAAGAGCAAAUAGAGCGAAAUGAGGCAUGGCUAAAAUGCAGGAUCUGUUUGGUAUUUUGAAAAACAUUUUAUACAGCUUUUCAUGUUACCGAAAGGAAUAAUCUUUAUGAUUGCCCUGUCAACGUUGGAUUUGAACAACUGUCUGUCGUCACUGGUGGGUGAAGUUACAGUAGUGCCCCUGAACUUUGCUAGGCCUUUGCUGCAUAGGCUACUUGAGCAUGUACAGUACGGCCAUUAACAGAGUUGCAUUCAUCAAAAUUGGAGAAGGAAGCGCAGGGAUUGGAAAGCAGACCUUGAGCCAGUCAUCGCCCACGUCAUCUUUCGACAACAUAAGACUUAGGUUUUCAGAGCAAAUGUUUUGCCAACAUAUUUACAGACACAUGGCUCCAUGAUAGCAUCUGUCUACUGUAGUUGAAUAUGUGAAGAAGGACAGCGCAGGACUCCAUGGGACAGGAAGAGGAGGACUCUUUAUUUCAUCAAUGAUGCUUGGUGCUGACUGUCGAUGGACAGUGUUUCCAUGAAGUCACAUUUUUGAUGCAGCUUCUCAAGCUUACAAUUGCCUUUUUAUCUGCUGAGAGAAUUUACCAUUGUUUUGUAGCAGCUGUUUUUUUUAUCCUGACGCAAAUUUAAAAAAUGAACUACGGCAAAGCAUUCCUUUUUUUGUUGUCCUUUUUUUUUAUCUUAUUUUCUUUGUACAGCAUAUAUGGACUAGCUACAACUGAACGUUGUGAAACCCUGUGUUCAGGAAUGUCAAUUGAUGCUCCUUGAACACCCGUCCCUCACUUUUUGUGUCUGUAAAUAAUUUGGAAAGUAAUCUAGGCUUCAUACUAAACAGGAUAUGCAGCAAUUCAUAAACUGAUCAGUGUGGCCAGCAGUAUUUCUGUACCCCUGUGUCAUAAUCUUCACCUCGGGGUUCAUUUAAAUGUAUUUAUACCUCCUGACAAAAAGGCUCUCCCACAGUUUAUGUGAUGUCAUCUUCUGAAGCAAUCAUUCUAUAAUAGACCUGUAGAUGUAAAUCAUGACAGAAAUACUAUAUUAAGGCGAGACAAGGCAGGCAAAAAGAUCGUUUUUCAAGCACUGGUCUAUUUUGAGAUUUUGUGCUAUUUUGAUUCUAUAACAUGUUUUAUUUCAGGCUUUUGGAAGGAAAACGUACAAAAUACACAUUUAAGUGUUUAUUUUAUUAUAGUUUGUCUAUUUGCGUCUGUAGAUUUCUCUUAAAUUCACCAAAAGUUAGCAUUCUAACGUAACAUGAAGUACCGCGACCGCUGUUUGCACCAUGUCAUCAGAGAUAUCGUUGGAAAGCU